GGAGAAGGCGCGCAGCCGCCGGCAGACCUGGCCCAGCCGGCCCAGGGCCUGCGCGUCCAGAAACAAGAAUUGGGAAGGAAAACGCCAACAUCUCAAAGUCUCAAGUCAAAACCUCUCCAUCUGAUAAAGAAGUUCUGUCAGCUGCAAGCAAACUGAUUCCCUGUCUAUCUUUCUCCAGGAUGUGUGCACUACCCCAUGCAUGUAAUCCUCAAUGAGAGUCACCCGGGUGCACAAAUAAGAGAUCUCAAAGAAGGCUGCUUGGGUUGAAAGCAAAGGAUCCAGAGCCAAGUUGAGGCCACCUUAGAAGCUGGGAACCUUGUUACUGAGCAGGUCAAUACCAUCCAGCGAGGAGCCAACUGCAGGAGGCAGAAAAGCACCACUCACCACCUCCUGCAUGGGUGCGUUUGGCUGACAGCCGGAAAAAGAAAGAGCAACACUGAAAAUGUACUGGACAUGAUCACAUCUUGGGUAUUUAAUGCAAGUAGCUAAAUUACUGAGCGGGGUAUACAGCAGAUUUGCUCCUAGGCCUGGGAGUCCAUACAGCUGGGUUCUAAUCCUUGGCUCAUCUGCUGAUCUUGACUAAGUCACUUCCCCUCGGUGUGCUUCAGUUCCCAGUCUAUAACAUGGGUGAAUAAUACUGACCUACCUAACGCCAGCACAUGGGGAUGGGGAAGCUUAAUGUUUGGAGAUCCUUAGAUGAAGAGGACAGUGUUAUUUUCAUUAGAUACAUAUAAUAAACACCCCUUACUUAUUUAUACUGCAUGCAGGGAAUGUCUAAUCUGCCUAAUUAUAUGCAGAGGUGGUGUGCGGGCUGGACUGCUACAAGGCUGUUACUGCCUGAGUCUGAGCGGACCACAUCACCCCCAAGAGGGUGUUCAAACAAGAGCACUGAGUUAGAGUUAGUUCUCGAAGUGACCU